rnacentral:piRNA from 1 species
UUUAAUGGUAUUGUAAUAAUU